UGCCAUCUAAGCACAUUAGCCAGUGUACUUGAAAUCAUCCCAAGAUCAACUUGUGAUACUCCACACAAUGUAAAUACCAUAAAGAGGAAAGAGAGGUAAGCUGAAAGUAUUGCAACUGGAAGUGGUCAUUGAAAUCAUUCUGUCUUACACAGAGCAUGGGCUGGAAGUUGGUAGAGUUGCCCCUUCCUACGGAUCAGGCCCCAUUUCUUUGAUGAGACUUGGGCUGAAGAAAUGAUUUCACCCUUGGAACCAUGCUGGUUGUUCCAAGAGGUGUAAUCAGGUUAAGGCAGGCUGAGUUAACCAGACUUUUACAAAGUGGAGCCAGGAGCAAAAGCUCUUCCUCUCUUGCCGAAGACUGUGAGUCAGAG